GAUUAACGCUGGCGGCGUGCCUAACACAUGCAAGUCGAGCGGCAGCGCGUUUUACACUGAAUUCUGGAAGCUUCUAGUUGAAAGAGAAGAUUUAUUCAAGAAUUUUGUGUAAAAUGUCGGCGAGCGGCGGACGGCUGAGUAACGCGUGGGAACGUACCCCAAAGUGAGGGAUAACGCAUCGAAAGGUGUGCUAAUACCGCAUAUGGUCUUCGGAUUAAAGCCUUCGGGCGCUUUGGGAACGGCCUGCGUAAGAUUAGAUAGUUGGUGGGGUAAUGGCCUACCAAGGCGACAAUCUUUAACUGGUUUGAGAGGAUGAUCAGUCAGACUGGAACUGAGACACGGUCCAGACUCCUACGGGAGGCAGCAGUGAGGAAUCUUCCACAAUGGGCGAAAGCCUGAUGGAGCAACGCCGCGUGCAGGAUGAAGGCCUUCGGGUUGUAAACUGCUUUUAUAAGUGAGGAUUAUGACAGUAACUUAUGAAUAAGGAUCGGCUAACUACGUG
rnacentral:rRNA from 1 species